ACGGGCGUGGUGCGCGGUGCACUCUCCAUACUCUUGUUUCGUUCUGGAUAGCUUAAACAGGGAGAGGACCGGGUUCGACUCCCGGCGCCUGAC